UACGAAGGGGGCUAGCGUUGCUCGGAAUUACUGGGCGUAAAGCGCACGGAGGCGGACUUUUAAGUCGGGGGUGAAAUCCUGGAGCUCAACUCCAGAACUGCCUUCGAAACUGAAAGUCUUGAGUUCGGGAGAGGUGAGGGGAACUGCGAGGGUAGAGGUGAAAUUCGUAGAUAUUCGCAAGAACACCAGUGGCGAAGGCGGCUCACUGGCCCGAUACCGACGCUGAGGUGCGAAGGCGUCGGGAGCACACAGG
rnacentral:rRNA from 1 species